AAGAAGGCCUUCGGGUAAUAAAGCUCAAUAGUAUGGGAAGAAAGAAAUGACGGUACCAUAAGAAAGCCCCGGCUAAUUACGUGCCAGCAGCCGCGGUAAUACGUAGGGGGCGAGCGUUGUCCGGAAUUACUGGGCGUAAAGAGCACGUAGGCGGCUAUAAAAGUCAGAUGUGAAAAACCUGGGCUCAACCGAGGGUUUGCAUCUGAAACUAAAUAGCUUGAGUCAAGGAGAGGAGAGCGGAAUUCCUGGUGUAGCGGUGAAAUGCGUAGAGAUCAGGAAGAAUACCAGUGGCGAAAGCGGCUCUCUGGACUUGAACUGACGGUGAGGUGGGAAAGCGUGGGGAGCAAACAGGAUUAGAUACCCUGGUAGUCCACGCCGUAAACGAUG
rnacentral:rRNA from 1 species